CGAGUUUGAUCCUGGCUCAGAUCGAACGCUGGCGGCGUGGCUAAAGCAUGCAAGUCGCACGCGAAAGUUCCCUUCGGGGAGCGAGUAGAGUGGCGAAAGGGCGAGGAAUCCAUGGGUAACGUACCUUGAGCAUGGGGAUAGCUGCGGGAAACUGCAGGUAAUACCUAAUGACACCACGGUUUCAUAUGGCACAGUGGUCAAAGGGCGGGGAUCCCUUCGGGGACCUGCUGGCUUGAGAGCGGCCCAUGUCCUAUCAGCUUGUUGGUAGGGUAACGGCCUACCAAGGCGACGACGGGUACCGGGACUGAGAGGUUGGCCCGGCGCAUUGGGACUGAGACACUGCCCAGACUCCUACGGAGGCUGCAGCAACGAAUAUUCCGCAAUGGACGAAAGUCUGACGGAGCGACGCCGCGUGCGGGAAUAAGCCCCUCGGGGUGUAAACCGCUGUCAGGGAUCACCAAGCGAUGAGGGUCAAUACCCCUCGGAGUUGAGGAGUCCCAGAGGAAGCCACGGCUAACUUCGUGCCAGCAGCCGCGGUAAGACGAAGGUGGCAAGCGUUGUUCGGAAUCACUGGGCUUAAAGAGCACGUAGGCGGCUUAUCAAGCGUCUUGUGAAAUCCCUCGGCUCAACCGAGGAACUGCAUGGCGAACUGAUAGGCUUGAGGCAGGUAGGGGCGCACGGAACUCUUGGUGGAGCGGUGGAAUGCGUAGAUAUCAAGAGGAACGCCGGUGGCGAAGGCGGUGCGCUGGGCCUGUCCUGACGCUGAGGUGCGAAAGCCAGGGGAGCGAACGGGAUUAGAUACCCCGGUAGUCCUGGCCCUAAACGAUGUCCACUAGGUCGAAGGUUCUCUGACGGAGUUUCGGCCGAAACAAAAGCGUUAAGUGGACCGCCUGGGGAGUACGGUCGCAAGGCUAAAACUCAAAGGAAUUGACGGGGGCUCACACAAGCGGUGGAGCAUGUUGCUUAAUUCGAUCAACGCGAAGAACCUUAUCCUGGGCUUGACAUGUACGAAUGCCUACCUGGAAACAGGGUCGGCUGCCCUUCGGGGUGAAACGUACACAGGUGCUGCAUGGCUGUCGUCAGCUCGUGUCGUGAGAUGUUGGGUUAAGUCCCGUAACGAGCGAAACCCUUGUCGCUAGUUGCCAGCGGGUUAUGCCGGGGACUCUAGCGAGACUGCCGGUGUUAAACCGGAGGAAGGUGGGGAUGACGUCAAGUCCUCAUGGCCUUUAUGCCCAGGGCUGCAAACGUGCUACAAUGACCGGUACAAACCGAUGCAAGACCGCGAGGUGGAGCAAAUCGGAAAAAGCCGGCCCCAGUUCGGAUUGGAGUCUGCAACUCGACUCCAUGAAGUCGGAAUCGCUAGUAAUCGCGUAUCAGCAUGACGCGGUGAAUGUGUUCCUGAGCCUUGUACACACCGCCCGUCAAGUCAUGGAAGCUGGGAGCACCCGAAGUCGUGUCAUUUCAGGCAUGCCGAAGGUGAGCUUGGUGACUGGGACUAAGUCGUAACAAGGUA
rnacentral:rRNA from 1 species